GUUAAGAAUACAGAUUUGCAUUUCUAACACUAUUGAAUUCCUUUAAUACUGCUAGAAGCUGAUGUUUCAAUUUAUUUCCAUUACACCAGUUUCCUGCUGAGAGCAUCAAUAUUGUUUUCAGUGAGUUACACUUGUUGUUAGACUCAUCUUUCCUGCAUAAUCCUGCUUGGGAAGCACAGGCUUACUCCCCAUAAUAUUUUAUGUUGGC